rnacentral:rRNA from 1 species
UGGGGAAUUGUUCGCAAUGGGCGCAAGCCUGACGACGCAACGCCGCGUGGAGGAUGAAGAUCUUCGGGUCGUAAACUCCUUUCGAUCGAGACGAAUUCCUCUGGGGUAAAUAACCUCGGAGGUUGACGGUACCGAGAGAAGAAGCCCCGGCUAACUCCGUGCCAGCAGCCGCGGUAAUACGGGGGGGGGCAAGCGUUGUUCGGAAUUACUGGGCGUAAAGGGCUCGUAGGUGGCCAACUAAGUCGGACGUGAAAUCCCUCGGCUUAACCGGGGAACUGCGUCCGAUACUGGUCGGCUUGAGUUUGGGAGAGGGAUGCGGAAUUCCAGGUGUAGCGGUGAAAUGCGUAGAUAUCUGGAGGAACACCGGUGGCGAAGGCGGCAUCCUGGACCAAUACUGACGCUGAGGAGCGAAAGCCAGGGGAGCAAACGG